rnacentral:misc_RNA from 1 species
AGAAUGCCACAGCAACAAUCAGAAGGCUAAGAGUCAUUCCAGCAGAGGAGAUAAUAAGUAGAAGACGACGUCCAGCUCGGUCGAUCACCCAUGUUGUCACUGCAGUGGCAACAACCUGAAUAGCGCCAAGGCCAAAUGUAGCUGCAUUACUGGAGGUAAUACCGGCAGAUGCAAAGAUGGUACUCGAAUAGAAUAAAACACCAUUAAUUCCACUUAGUUGCUGCAGAAUAAGUAAUCCUAU